rnacentral:rRNA from 1 species
ACUCCUACGGGAGGCAGCAGUGGGGAAUAUUGCACAAUGGGCGCAAGCCUGAUGCAGCAACGCCGCGUGAGCGAUGAAGGCCUUCGGGUCGUAAAGCUCUGUCCUCAAGGAAGAAUAAAUGACGGUACUUGAGGAGGAAGCCCGGCUAACUACGUGCCAGCAGCCGCGGUAAUACGUAGGGGGCAAGCGUUAUCCGGAAUCACUGGGGCGUAAAGGGUGCGUAGGCGGUUUUCAAGUCAGAAGUGAAAGGCUAUGGCUCAACCAUAGUAAGCUUUUGAAACUGUUAAACUUGAGUGCAGGAGAGGAAAGUGGAAUUCCUAGUGUAGAGGUGAAAUUCGUAGAUAUUAGGAGGAACACCAGUGGCGAAGGCGACUUUCUGGACUGUAACUGACGCUGAGGCACGAAAGCGUGGGAGCGAACAGGAUUAGAUACCCUGGUAGCACAGAG